AUCAGGUAUUCUGGGUGAGAAAAGAUGAGUUUUCCUCUUCAAGCUCCCUCACUUUCAUUUGCAACUUUUCUAAGUGGAGAUGGGUUUCUGACUUGAUCUCAUUAGCGACCCGGACAUAACCAAAGAACAGGCAGUCGGCCAUUUUAUUUUUAUGACAGUCGACAGUUGAGUUUGAGAGUAAACGGUGUAAUCGAGAUCAACAAACUACGUGUAUUUACUAUUUAGCAUUAUACUAGAACUGUUCGAGGCUAAUUAUUUGCGGGCAGUUGGUGGAGCAAGUGUAGAGGACCUGACGAGAAGGAUUCUAGCCUACAUUUUCACGAACGAUUAAGCAAAUUUAACUUGGUAAUAUAACUUAAGGGCACACUAGCUUUACCACACAGGGACUAAGUAUUGUGUUAACUU